GACGAACGCUGGCGGCGUGCCUAAUACAUGCAAGUCGAGCGCAGGAAGCCGUCUGAACCCUUCGGGGGGACGACGGUGGAAUGAGCGGCGGACGGGUGUGUAACACGUAAAGAACCUGCCCAUAGGUCUGGGAUAACCACGAGAAAUCGGGGCUAAUACCGGAUGUGUCAUCGGACCGCAUGGUCCGCUGAUGAAAGGCGCUCCGGCGUCGCCCAUGGAUGGCUUUGCGGUGCAUUAGCUAGUUGGUGGGGUAACGGCCCACCAAGGCGACGAUGCAUCGCCGGCCUGAGAGGGUGAGCGGCCACACUGGGACUGAGACACGGCCCAGACUCCUACGGGAGGCAGCAGUAGGGAAUCUUCCACAAUGGACGAAAGUCUGAUGGAGCAACGCCGCGUGAACGAUGAAGGCUUUCGGGUCGUAAAGUUCUGUUGUAAGGGAAGAACAAGUGCCGCAGGCAAUGGCGGCACCUUGACGGUACCUUGGGAGGAAGCCACGGCUAACUACGUGCCAGCCGCCGCAGUAACAC
rnacentral:rRNA from 1 species